rnacentral:rRNA from 1 species
UAAGCAUAUCAAUAAGCGGAGGAAAAGAAACUAACAAGGAUUCCCCUAGUAACUGCGAGUGAAGCGGGAAAAGCUCAAAUUUAAAAUCUGGCGGCUUUUGGCUGUCCGAGUUGUAGUCUGGAGAAGUGCUUUCCGCGCUGGACCGUGUACAAGUCUCUUGGAACAGAGCGUCAUAGAGGGUGAGAAUCCCGUCUUUGACACGGACUACCAGUGCUUUGUGAUGCGCUCUCAAAGAGUCGAGUUGUUUGGGAAUGCAGCUCAAAAUGGGUGGUAAAUUCCAUCUAAAGCUAAAUAUUGGCGAGAGACCGAUAGCGAACAAGUACCGUGAGGGAAAGAUGAAAAGCACUUUGGAAAGAGAGUUAAACAGUACGUGAAAUUGCUGAAAGGGAAACGCUUGAAGUCAGUCGCGUUGACCAGAACUCAGCCUUGCUUUUGCUUGGUGCACUUUCUGGUUGACGGGCCAGCAUCAAUUUUGAUUGUUGGAUAAAGGCUGGGGGAAUGUGGCACCUUCGGGUGUGUUAUAGCCCUCGGUCACAUACAACAGUUGGGAUUGAGGAUCUCAGCACGCCUUUAUGGUCGGGGUUCGCCCACGUUCGUGCUUAGGAUGCUGGCAUAAUGGCUUUAAACGACCCGUCUUGAAACACGGACCAAGGAGUCUAACAUGCCUGCGAGUGUUUGGGUGGAAAACCCGAGCGCGUAAUGAAAGUGAAAGUUGAGAUCCCUGUCAUGGGGAGCAUCGACGCCCGGACCUGACCUUCUGUGACGGCUCCGCGGUAGAGCAUGUAUGUUGGGACCCGAAAGAUGGUGAACUAUGCCUGAAUAGGGUGAAGCCAGAGGAAACUCUGGUGGAGGCUCGUAGCGAUUCUGACGUGCAAAUCGAUCGUCAAAUUUGGGUAUAGGGGCGAAAGACUAAUCGAACCAUCUAGUAGCUGGU